GACGAACGCUGGCGGCGUGCCUAAUACAUGCAAGUCGAGCGGAAGUUGGAGAGCUUGCUCUUCAACUUUAGCGGCGGACGGGUGAGUAACACGUGGGCAACCUGCCCUGCAGAUCGGGAUAACUCCGGGAAACCGGUGCUAAUACCGAAUAGUUUUCGCCACCUCCUGGUGGCGUACGGAAAGACGGUUUCGGCUGUCACUGCAGGAUGGGCCCGCGGCGCAUUAGCUAGUUGGUGGGGUAACGGCCCACCAAGGCAACGAUGCGUAGCCGACCUGAGAGGGUGAGCGGCCACACUGGGACUGAGACACGGCCCAGGCGCCUACGGGAGGCAGCAGUAGGGAACCUUCCGCAAUGGACGAAAGUCUGACGGAGCAACGCCGCGUGAGUGACGAAGGUUUUCGGAUCGUAAAACUCUGUUGUGAGGGAAGAACAAGUACCAACUAACUACUGGUACCUUGACGGUACCUCACCAGAAAGCCACGGCUAACUACGUGCCAGCAGCCGCGGUAA
rnacentral:rRNA from 1 species